rnacentral:tRNA from 1 species
GUGCAUGUGGCGCAGUUGGCAGCGCAGCGGGAUGUGACCCCGCGGGUCACCGGUUCGAGUCCGGUCUUGCACC